UACGUAGGGUGCGAGCGUUGUCCGGAAUUAUUGGGCGUAAAGAGCUCGUAAGCGGUUUGUCGCGUCUGCCGUGAAAGUCCGGGGCUCAACUCCGGAUCUGCGGUGGGUACGGGCAGACUAGAGUGAUGUAGGGGAGACUGGAAUUCCUGGUGUAGCGGUGAAAUGCGCAGAUAUCAGGAGGAACACCAAUGGCGAAGGCAGCACUCUGGGACGUGACUGACGCUGAGACGCGAAAGCGUGGGGAGCAAACAGG
rnacentral:rRNA from 1 species